GCCUGGCCACUGUGCCUGGGGAUCCAGGAUUUCAGCCCGGGUGGCUCUCAGAAGAGCAGGAGGACUGGGACCCCAGCAGUACUUGUUAACAGGUUUCCAUCCGUGACCUCCCAGUUCUGUGCUUGGAGCCGUGCCUACUCGUGGUCAUGGAGAGCCUGAGCACCGUCAGCAGGCCCGCUUUUCACAGCCACUUUCCAGUUCCGCACAGAGCUGCUCUGGGGCCACAGACUGAUUGGUCUUUGUCUCCCUGACUUGGUCCCUUCCCGCCAGUGAGGCCAGGGGCUGCUAAGAGGCUGAGCUCCUCCCGUGGAUCCAAGGGCCGAGGCGGUGGCCAGGACGGCAGAGUCUUCUGCUUUCUGACCUGCUAGUUUUUAUUUCUUAACUGUCUCAAGUUGUGUCAUCCUCGGUCUCAAAUCCUCCUUUACCGCAGAGUUGUCUUUAGUACCUCCGUUGUGCUGACACUGCGGUCUGGCCCUUAGGGACUUCACCGUAGUGUGCUCACCUGCAGUCAGCAGUGGGUACCAGGAGAGUUACCGGACCUGUAGAGGAAGACCACCGCCCGUGGUGGUCGGAAUGUCCUCGUGGCGUUCAGCCCAGAGCUCCCCUGGGAAUCUGGUUAUGAAGUCAGAGUCCAGAUCUCAGCUAGAGCAGGGCUGGGAGGAGACGGGUCUGCCUGCCUUCAUGCCUGCUCUGCAGAACCCCAGCACCUGGCAUCAGUCUGCCACCUCAGUUACCCACAUAGGAAAUCGGCACAGGAGGGUGGGUUUGCUCGCCACUGCUGGUGACCGUGUGUGAAGAUGUGCUGACCUGAGUGGGGGGCUCGGCAUGGCCUGGAGGUCCAGAGCGUCACUGUCCGGACACACGACAGACGUCUGUGGGCGCUGGGAGGGGCUUGCUGUCUCCAGCGUGUGAGCAGGUGCUUGGGAGCCCUUCUGCCGGUCACGGCUGGUGCCAGUUGAGGGGUGAACACUGGGGACUGGGCUGCCGUGGUGUGCGUCCCAGUGAGCAUCCCAGCGACAGGUGGCCUGCCUGUACACAGACACCAUGCCUGUAUGGCAGACAGAGGGUGGCUUUUUGAAACUUGACGUGGACAAUGGAAAUAUUUCUCUUGAAAUUGACUGUGAUCCUGACUUGUGGAGAACAGUCAUAGAAGUCUUAGGGAAAUGGCACACUGAGGAAAUGGUCAGCAGUCUCCAUGAUGUUAUUUCUUACAAUUAACGACAGCAUUCGGAGCAGAGCUCAUCUGUGUACACAUAGUGACGGAAACAGGAGCUGACCAGAAUCCCCGCGUCCCUCAGAGGCCCAGAGGAGGCAGACCUGCCGUCCCUGACGCAGCCCUUUCCUGCCCGCAGCUACGUUCAGUCCUGUCUCCUCUGCGCUCCCUGUUUACAGGAGCUCCACUGGGGUCCGUCCCUGUGUACCUGUGUGUGACACCAGCACUGAGUGUCCUCCAGGAGGACUCUGAACAGGGCUGUGGGUGAACGCCCCGUUGCCCCCGAGGUCCAGCCUGCGGGCUGGGGGCAGCCCCCACUGCCCGGUGCGCUCCUCCUCGCGCGGUGGCCAGGAGGCCCGGGUCUCCCUCUCCUUUCCCGGCCGCGUGUGCUCUGCCCUGGGCUGUUUCGGGGGCCUGCUGGCUUCUCUCCUGGCGGCUCCGGCUGUGCCUCUGGCUUGCCGUGGCGGUUCCUGCUUUCCACUUCCAUGGGCACCGCGCCUGCCGCGGGCCUCUCGGUGGGGGCUCUCAUCCUCGUUGUCUUUGGAGAGUCUUGAAGGGACUCCUAGCCUCGCACCAUCCGCACGUCCCUGCCACCUCGGGCCUCGUGCCUUCGUCUGGACCCAGGUGUGGUCGGCACCAUAUUCCGUGAGCUGGGCGGCCUCUGUAGCAGUGUUCCCAGGGCACGGCACGGUGACAACUGCUGUUGACUGCUGUUCAUAAC
rnacentral:lncRNA from 1 species